UGGGGGAUAACGCUCGGAAACGGACGCUAAUACCGCAUACGUCCUACGGGAGAAAGCAGGGGACCUUCGGGCCUUGCGCUAUCAGAUGAGCCUAGGUCGGAUUAGCUAGUUGGUGAGGUAAUGGCUCACCAAGGCGACGAUCCGUAACUGGUCUGAGAGGAUGAUCAGUCACACUGGAACUGAGACACGGUCCAGACUCCUACGGGAGGCAGCAGUGGGGAAUAUUGGACAAUGGGCGAAAGCCUGAUCCAGCCAUGCCGCGUGUGUGAAGAAGGUCUUCGGAUUGUAAAGCACUUUAAGUUGGGAGGAAGGGCAUUUACCUAAUACGUAAGUGUUUUGACGUUACCGACAGAAUAAGCACCGGCUAACUCUGUGCCAGCAGCCGCGGUAAUACAGAGGGUGCAAGCGUUAAUCGGAAUUACUGGGCGUAAAGCGCGCGUAGGUGGUUUGUUAAGUUGAAUGUGAAAUCCCCGGGCUCAACCUGGGAACUGCAUCCAAAACUGGCAAGCUAGAGUAUGGUAGAGGGUGGUGGAAUUUCCUGUGUAGCGGUGAAAUGCGUAGAUAUAGGAAGGAACACCAGUGGCGAAG
rnacentral:rRNA from 1 species